rnacentral:rRNA from 1 species
GACAGAGGGUGCAAACGUUGUUCGGAAUUACUGGGCGUAAAGCGUGUGUAGGCGGUCCUCUAAGUCGGAUGUGAAAUCCCUGGGCUCAACCCAGGAAGUGCACUCGAAACUGGAGGGCUAGAGUAUCGGAGAGGUUGGUGGAAUUCUCGGUGUAGAGGUGAAAUUCGUAGAUAUCGAGAGGAACACCGGUGGCGAAGGCGGCCAACUGGACGAAUACUGACGCUGGAGGAGCGAAAGCGUGGGAGCGAACAGG